rnacentral:rRNA from 1 species
GGCUCAGGACGAACGCUGGCGGCGUGCCUAAUACAUGCAAGUCGAACGAACUCUGGUAUUGAUUGGUGCUUGCAUCAUGAUUUACAUUUGAGUGAGUGGCGAACUGGUGAGUAACACGUGGGAAACCUGCCCAGAAGCGGGGGAUAACACCUGGAAACAGAUGCUAAUACCGCAUAACAACUUGGACCGCAUGGUCCGAGUUUGAAAGAUGGCUUCGGCUAUCACUUUUGGAUGGUCCCGCGGCGUAUUAGCUAGAUGGUGGGGUAACGGCUCACCAUGGCAAUGAUACGUAGCCGACCUGAGAGGGUAAUCGGCCACAUUGGGACUGAGACACGGCCCAAACUCCUACGGGAGGCAGCAGUAGGGAAUCUUCCACAAUGGACGAAAGUCUGAUGGAGCAACGCCGCGUGAGUGAAGAAGGGUUUCGGCUCGUAAAACUCUGUUGUUAAAGAAGAACAUAUCUGAGAGUAACUGUUCAGGUAUUGACGGUAUUUAACCAGAAAGCCACGGCUAACUACGUGCCAGCAGCCGCGGUAAUACGUAGGUGGCAAGCGUUGUCCGGAUUUAUUGGGCGUAAAGCGAGCGCAGGCGGUUUUUUAAGUCUGAUGUGAAAGCCUUCGGCUCAACCGAAGAAGUGCAUCGGAAACUGGGAAACUUGAGUGCAGAAGAGGACAGUGGAACUCCAUGUGUAGCGGUGAAAUGCGUAGAUAUAUGGAAGAACACCAGUGGCGAAGGCGGCUGUCUGGUCUGUAACUGACGCUGAGGCUCGAAAGUAUGGGUAGCAAACAGGAUUAGAUACCCUGGUAGUCCAUACCGUAAACGAUGAAUGCUAAGUGUUGGAGGGUUUCCGCCCUUCAGUGCUGCAGCUAACGCAUUAAGCAUUCCGCCUGGGGAGUACGGCCGCAAGGCUGAAACUCAAAGGAAUUGACGGGGGCCCGCACAAGCGGUGGAGCAUGUGGUUUAAUUCGAAGCUACGCGAAGAACCUUACCAGGUCUUGACAUACUAUGCAAAUCUAAGAGAUUAGACGUUCCCUUCGGGGACAUGGAUACAGGUGGUGCAUGGUUGUCGUCAGCUCGUGUCGUGAGAUGUUGGGUUAAGUCCCGCAACGAGCGCAACCCUUAUUAUCAGUUGCCAGCAUUAAGUUGGGCACUCUGGUGAGACUGCCGGUGACAAACCGGAGGAAGGUGGGGAUGACGUCAAAUCAUCAUGCCCCUUAUGACCUGGGCUACACACGUGCUACAAUGGAUGGUACAACGAGUUGCGAACUCGCGAGAGUAAGCUAAUCUCUUAAAGCCAUUCUCAGUUCGGAUUGUAGGCUGCAACUCGCCUACAUGAAGUCGGAAUCGCUAGUAAUCGCGGAUCAGCAUGCCGCGGUGAAUACGUUCCCGGGCCUUGUACACACCGCCCGUCACACCAUGAGAGUUUGUAACACCCAAAGUCGGUGGGGUAACCUUUUAGGAACCAGCCGC